rnacentral:misc_RNA from 1 species
CCCAUAUCCAACGGUUCCAGUAAAUUACAUAGAGACAUCAUACACACAAGAAGAUAAAAUACAAAAGAGAAAUAGGGUGAUAUUUGUUAUGUCCUUUCUUUAUUUGUUUCACAAGUUUAUUUGAUUCAGGGGAAAAAAGGCUUCAGCUUUUCAGUUUUUCCACCUUAGAUCCUACUCUUCCAUGUUAAUAAUGCACCGCAAGCCCUGCCCCUUCAGCAUUAACUCAAAGGCCUUAUUGAUAUCAGAAAAAGGCAGCCUAUGAGUAAUAAACUUGUCCAAUUCCAACUUCUUGUUCAUGUACAUCUCAACAACAGAUGGAAGGUCAGUCCGCGGUUUGUAGUUCCCAAAGAAGGUUCCUUUAAGAGUUCUUUCAUUGAGUAAAUUGAUUGGCUUAGUCAUGAAAACUGCUUCCUUGUUGGGCACACCAACUAGCACUGCCACCCCCCAUCCAUCAUGAACACAUUCAAAAGCUGCGAUCAUGGCAUCAAUAUGGCCUGUACACUCUACACUCCUGUCGACUCCGCCAUUUGUCAUCUCUGCAAUUACCUGUUGAACUGGUCUGUCAUGUUCCUUUGGGUUCACGAAUUCAGUUACACCAAACUUCUUGGCUUCCUCAAAUCUACUGGGGUUCAAAUCCACCCCAAUGAUCCUAGAUGCUCCAGCAAUUCUUGCACCUUCUGCAGCUGCUAGGCCUACAGCUCCCAAUCCAAAAACAGCAACUGAGGAACCUUUUUUUGGUUUAGCCACAUUCAAUGUCGCACCCAGUCCUGUUGAGAUGCCGCAACUGAGAACGCAGACUUUAUCCAAAGGUGCUAAUGGAUUGAGCUUUGCAAGGCAACCUCUAUGCACAACUGUGUAUUCGCUAAAGGUUGAUGUGCCGAGAAAAUGAUUUAUCGGCACCCCGUCAAUUGAAAACCUAGAUUUGCCAUCACUAAUCAUGACACCCCUGUCAGUGUUUAUUCUCAGCAAAUCACACAUGUUACUUUCCUCAGACUGGCAGUGCCUGCAUUCCCCACAUUCUCCAGUAAAUACAGGAAGGACAUGAUCCCCAACCUUGAGAUCUGAUACGCCUUCCCCAACACUCUCAACGAUUCCUGCAGCUUCAUGUCCAAAUAUGCGAGGAAACAACGGCGUCUGGCCCUUGGCUUCCCAGAAGUAGAGAUCAGUAUGGCA